GUAGAACUUGUACAAUAGAGCUUAUAGGCUAAUGAGAAGACAGGAAGAAACAACAGGAACACAUAUAGCUGGAGUGCAGAUGGGAUCUGUGCUACUUACGCUAGCCAUGGGAUGAUUAGAACAAGAUAAGAGACAUGAGGAAGACUUCUUCAAGGAGGUGCUCAAGCCAUGUUUUGGAAAAGAGAACUCAAGGUCUGGCAGGGAGAAAGGAGCAAGGGCAAGUAGAGCUGUGGCUGUCUGGCGCCACUGUAAUGCUGUCUCCUCCUCUGAGUUCAUCCCGGAAACAUUUUCUCCCAUAAGACAUGCGCAGGUCUUACGUUUACAUGUUUCACUGAAAGAAAUUUGAUUCCACUGAUGGGAUGACAAGGAAGACUGGAGAAACCUAAUCCUAGGUGCUGCCAUUGGGACAAACAAGAAGCACCAGACACAGUGCUGUUUUAGGGUGGGGCAGAAUUAUGCUGAGGGAAAAGUUAUUAUCACUCUUUAAGGCCAAGGAAACCACAAGUUUUAAAGAAGCUUCAAGAAAUUCUACCCAAUAGAAAAUAAAGAUAAAUUUCUGUAAGGAA
rnacentral:lncRNA from 1 species